rnacentral:miRNA from 1 species
AGUAAGUUCGAGUUUUAGACAAAUAAUGAAAAAAGUGUUAGUAUAAGUAUAUCCCAGCAAUAUUGGGGACAUACUUAUGCUAAAAAACAAUUAUUCAUUGUUUACCUGAAGAUCAGGUUU